rnacentral:piRNA from 1 species
UCUGUUUCUACCACUGUGGCUGCCACAGUC